rnacentral:rRNA from 1 species
GCAUAUCAUUUGACGUUAGCUGCAGAAGAAGCACCGGCUAACUCCGUGCCAGCAGCCGCGGUAAUACGGAGGGUGCGAGCGUUAAUCGGAAUUACUGGGCGUAAAGCGCAUGCAGGUGGUUUGUUAAGUCAGAUGUGAAAGCCCGGGGCUCAACCUCGGAAUUGCAUUUGAAACUGGCAAACUAGAGUACUGUAGAGGGGGUAGGAAUUUCAGGUGUAGCGGUGAAAUGCGUAGAGAUCUGAAGGAAUACCGGUGGCGAAGGCGGCCCCCUCGGACAGAUACUGACACUCAGAUGACGAAAGCGGUGGGGAGACAAACAGGAUUAGACUACCCUGGUAG